rnacentral:rRNA from 1 species
GUAGCUUGCUACUUUGCCGGCGAGCGGCGGACGGGUGAGUAAUGUCUGGGAAACUGCCUGAUGGAGGGGGAUAACUACUGGAAACGGUAGCUAAUACCGCAUGACCUCGCAAGAGCAAAGUGGGGGACCUUCGGGNGCUCACGCCAUCGGAUGUGCCCAGAUGGGAUUAGCUAGUAGGUGAGGUAAUGGCUCACCUAGGCGACGAUCCCUAGCUGGUCUGAGAGGAUGACCAGCCACACUGGAACUGAGACACGGUCCAGACUCCUACGGGAGGCAGCAGUGGGGAAUAUUGCACAAUGGGCGCAAGCCUGAUGCAGCCAUGCCGCGUGUGUGAAGAAGGCCUUAGGGUUGUAAAGCACUUUCAGCGAGGAGGAAGGGUUCAGUGUUAAUAGCACUGNACAUUGACGUUACUCGCAGAAGAAGCACCGGCUAACUCCGUGCCAGCAGCCGCGGUAAUACGGAGGGUGCAAGCGUUAAUCGGAAUUACUGGGCGUAAAGCGCACGCAGGCGGUUUGUUAAGUCAGAUGUGAAAUCCCCGAGCUUAACUUGGGAACU